CCCGUCAUGUUGAAAUUGGUAGACAAACUUGACUCAAAAUCAAGCGCCCACAAGGCGUGCCGGUUCGACUCCGGCUGACGGGACCA
rnacentral:tRNA from 1 species